GGUCUAAUCCUUUACAUGAUCACUCUUUUCAUAAAACUUUAUACCUUUAAAUGCCCCAGGCUUACCCCGAGGGACUGUGAUUAAAAACUCUUCUUUCAUUUUUUCCAAGCUCAACGCAUGCAUGCUCUUAUUUAUUAAGCUUGGCCAUAAAAUCCUCUGUAAGACAUUUCAUUCUUCCUUAAAACAUCUUUUCUCUUUAAACUUACUCGUUCUUGAAAACAUUUCAUACAUCAUGAAAACAUAUUCUUUCUUAAAACUCAUUGAUCAUGUACCCCUUAUAGGAUUAGCCAACCAUAGACAUAAUAUCACUCUACACAUUAGGCAUAGCACAUCUCUAAACCAUAUUUCAUAUACUCUUCAUAGCUUUACUUUAUCUCUUUACAUUCAUACAUCUCAUGUCCCUACAUUCUCAUGUCCACAACUAUACUAUACAUGCAUACAUACAUAACAUAUCCUCACUUACAUUACCCUUACAUAACCAUCUAUUCCAUUACAUCUCAAACAUAACUCUUCAUUACUUUAGUCUCUACCAUCUUUAACUUCUCAUAGCUCCUUCCUAUUAUCCAUCACUAUAACUGGCCCUGCAAAAAUGGGAAUAGGGGAGAGGGAUGAGCUUCUAAAGCCCAAUGAGCGGAAACCAUGAAAACAGUUCAUAAAAACAUAUGCUCUCAUGCUAUGCAUCACAUCACAACAAUACACAUCAAGGAAGAAGUUGUCACCUA
rnacentral:lncRNA from 1 species